rnacentral:rRNA from 1 species
UACCAGCACCCCGAGUGGUCGGGACGUUUAUUGGGCCUAAAGCAUCCGUAGCCGGUUCUACAAGUCUUCCGUUAAAUCCAACUGCUUAACAGGUGGGCUGCGGAAGAUACUAUAGAGCUAGGAGGCGGGAGAGGCAAGCGGUACUCGGUGGGUAGGGGUAAAAAUCCAUUGAUCCACUGAAGACCACCAGUGGCGAAGGCGUUUGCCAGAACG